ensembl:lncRNA
GCUGGAUUUUUCAGGAGAUUGUAUCAGGCGCAGAUACUGUGUAGAUGUUUUCCUGUGAAUCACAAUUCCUUCACUUGACUUGAGAAAUUGUCAAGGAUUUUCAACUCCAGUGUGACAGGGAUGUAUGAGUUAUCUAGGUCACCAUGACUCUCUUAACUCCCUCAAAAUGACAGGUAUGUUCUUCUUUACAUCUUGCAUUGGUUACAGCAAAAGUUUAUGCUUGAUUGUUGUGUACAAAUUCUUUCCCAAGGGAAACUGGGUGUGAAUCACUUGCAUUCCAGAAUUAUGAUACUUAAGAUCCGAAUUGUAUUCACCCCUUUUUUCUCCUGUCCCAUACUUGCUCGAGAGUCCGAAUCUUUGGAGGGGGCCUCUGAAUCACAUCUUAAAACUGC